GUCUACUACCAUGCCACCCUGAACAAGCCCAAUCCCUUCUGAUCUCUGAAGCUAAGCAGGGUCUGGCUUGGUUAGUACUUGGAUGGGAGACCACCUAGGAAGACAAGGUGCUGUAGGCG
rnacentral:rRNA from 1 species